ACACGUGUAACGUUUGCACAUGACCUCGCCCACAGAUCAAUGACACUUGCAACCUAGUCGUCGAGUAUAAAAGGGAUAAGGGGAGGAGAAGGGGAUAGACCACACAUUCCAAGAGUCUCCAUGGCCAAGCUUGCACAGCAGUUGAAGGAUAGCUUCUUCAACCUUGUUGAACGGGUCAAGAGGUUCGGCAGUGGCAACUCUCAAGCAAAUGAAACUAAAGAGGCAGAUUUUUCUCAGCUGCAAUCUUCUCAGGAUAGAGGAGUUCAUGUAGCAAGCGCGAGCGGUCCAAAUCCCCCGACUGUGCCGAAAGGACCGCCUCCUCAACAUAGUUGAAGUUAUGAGAAGAAGAAGAAGAAGAAGAAGAAGAAGAAGAAGAAGAAGAAGAGGAAGUUAUAUGAUCUGAAGCAGCUUGUUUUUAUGUUUUUAUUAGCUGGUUUUCGGUCUCUCUCUGUUCUUGUCUCUCAAUUCUCUUCUACUACCCGUCUGUGCCUUUUUUUUUUUCUUUUUUGAUGAUGAAGGGAGGUUAAGAGGAGCCACUUUGCUUUUAUUAAUAAAGAUAAAGAUCUACUAGCUAUCCUUGGUUUGUGGUUGUGUUUUUAGCCUGUAGAGUGAUGCAUUACCGAUUCGUAGUUAAUCUGCUAGUUGCUAUGAUUAUCGGAUUAAUGUUGAAGGCAGGACUGUUAUUGAUAAUUUAAUUCCUCAUCUUAGUUGCAAAAAAAUCGCCUGAGAACUAAAGCUACUUCUCUUACAUGUCCCAAUUGACGGUGAACAGGACCACUUGGUUAAAGAUGUGACAUGACAAGUAGCCAUAGAUGCACGAUUUCCUGCUGAUUUGUGUGACUUCUUCGCUGUUGAAUGGCAGUCCUUUUGCUUAUUUUUUUUUUAAAAAAUUCUUGAGUUGUAAAGGUAUUUGUCAACAAGAAAAAAAUCUCAAUUCGU